rnacentral:rRNA from 1 species
CCUACGGGUGGUAGCAGUGAGGAAUAUUGAUCAAUGGGCGUGAGCCUGAACCAGCCAAGUCGCGUGAGGGAUGACGGUCCUAUGGAUCGUAAACCUCUUUUGUCAGGGAGUAAGGUGCGCCACGUGUCCCGCUUUGUAUGUACCUUAUGAAUAAGGAUCGUCUAACUCCGUGCCAGCAGCCGCGGUACUACGGAGGAUCCGAGCGUUAUCCGGAUUUAUUGGGUUUAAAGGGUGCGUAGGCGGCCGUGUCCGGUCGCGGUCAAAGUCUGUGGCCCAACCAUAGACUUGCCGGUGAAACUGCGAGGGUAGAGUAGGCGAGAGGUAGGCGGAAUGCGUGGUGUAGCGGUGAAAUGCUUAGAUAUCACGCAGAACUCCGAUUGCGAAGGCAGCAUGCCAAGCCAUGACUGACGCUGAUGCACGAAAGCGUGGGGAUCAAACAGGAUUAGAUACCCGGGUAGUC